UUGUAACGGAGAGUUUGAUUCUGGCUCAGGACGAACGCUGGCGGCGUGCUUAACACAUGCAAGUCGAACGAUGAAGCCUAGCUUGCUAGGUGGAUUAGUGGCGAACGGGUGAGUAAUACGUGAGUGACCUACCUUUGACUCUGGGAUAAGCCUGGGAAACUGGGUCUAAUACCGGAUACGACCAAUCUCCGCAUGGGGUGUUGGUGGAAAGCGUUAUGGAGUGGUUUUAGAUGGGCUCACGGCCUAUCAGCUUGUUGGUGAGGUAAUGGCUUACCAAGGCGACGACGGGUAGCCGGCCUGAGAGGGUGACCGGCCACACUGGGACUGAGACACGGCCCAGACUCCUACGGGAGGCAGCAGUGGGGAAUAUUGCACAAUGGGCGCAAGCCUGAUGCAGCGACGCCGCGUGAGGGAUGACGGCCUUCGGGUUGUAAACCUCUGUUAGCAUCGAAGAAGCGAAAGUGACGGUAGGUGCAGAGAAAGCGCCGGCUAACUACGUGCCAGCAGCCGCGGUAAUACGUAGGGCGCGAGCGUUGUCCGGAAUUAUUGGGCG
rnacentral:rRNA from 1 species